rnacentral:tRNA from 2 species
GCCCCCGUGUCCCAACUGGCAGAGGAAGAGGUCUUAAAAACCUUUCAGUGUGGGUUCGAACCCCACCGGGGGCACCA